rnacentral:lncRNA from 1 species
AGAGAGAGUGAUCCAUGAUUGAAUCACUAGCAGCGGUCAAAAUUUAUCCUUAGUUACUGAUGGACUAAGGAUUUUUUCUCGAUUAUGGAGGUGGUUAAAGAGUUCGUCGUAAAGGUUACGUCGAUGCAAGCUUUGACACUAAUCCGAAUAACUAUGAGUAGUGAAACGGGUUCGUAUAGUAGAGUAGAUAUUUGGAGUAUUUCCGAAUAGCACAUAGUAGCAGCAUCUAUAAGAUGACAUAAAGAUUUGUAAAGAACACACGGAUCUGAAAGUUUCAGAACCGUUGACUAAAACCUCUCUCACGAGCAAGACGUGAUCACACCCCAUAAC